AUCUGACGAGUUCCAAACAAGACGAAACGCGCGUCUUAGAU
rnacentral:hammerhead_ribozyme from 1 species